rnacentral:lncRNA from 1 species
CCGGGGGUUGAAAGCUGCAAUCUUCAUUCCUAUGUUGAAACAUUUAGCAUAGGCUUGCGUAAAGAUGUCUAGAGCCCGUCCUGAUCCUGGCUUCAUGCCAGCAGACAGUAACAAUCUACCCAAAGUCGAUGACUGUAUGUUUACGCUAUUUUUUAACUCAGCUUCAUUCAUAAAUCCUGAGAUGAAAAAUGUAAAAGCACUGCGAUCUUGUCGGGCAAGUUAUGGCGACUAUGCUAUUGGCUAUGUACAGCUGAAGAGAGAGGGAAAUGUGUGCAGAAUAACAGCAAAAAUGACGCCGGAGACUAGCGUAAGGAAAGAGCCUUACAUUGUAAAAUGUGACGUGAAUGAGAAUGAAGACAAGAUUCUCACUGCUAAAUGCAAUUCUUGUGUUGCAAAGGAGGACACCUGUAAGCAUGCAAUUGCAUUUCUAGCCUGGCUGGAACGCAAAGCUGCUGAGCCAGCACCAACGUCAGUGCAAUGCUACUGGGAAACGCCUGCACUGGCAAAAGUCGCAACUUCUACCAAGGUUGUCAAGGUGAGUGACUUGAAUGAGCAACUCAAAGUGACCAUUGAAGAGGAAGCCAUCAGCAACUUCUUAUCGGAUGCAUAUGCAGUUUUGCAGGAAAAAGCUCCACAGAGCAUUUGGGUAAAAUCCCUCUCCAUACCCCAUCUUGGGGAAUUCAUGUCUUAAUGAUAAGGUACAAGAGAGAGGUUCCUGUGGAUGAGCAUUCAGGAGAGAGGUUCAUUCAAUAUUUAUCCUCUGUGAUGACGGAGGAGGAUUGUGAGAAGCUGGCGAAGAUGACCAAGGCGCAAGCUGAUUCACCUCUUUGGGAUGACGCACGGUUUGGUCGGGUGAGUGCAUCGAAAGUUUGGGAGGCUUCAAGAUGCCAAAAAGGUGAUGGUUGUUUGAAAAAUAGAGUCUUAGGAGGAGGGAAAUUUAAGGCAACAUCUGCAAUGGAGCGAGGUACCAAUUUAGAGAAAGAUGUGUUAAAGCAGGUCCAGAAGCGGUUUCCAGGGCAUCGCAUGAAGAAGACAGGAUUAAGGUCCUACAAACCCAGCCCAUUUUUGGAGCCUCCCCAGACGGCAUUCUGGGUGAUUACAUCGUAGAGGUGAAAUGCCCCAGCAAGAAGGAGACUUAUCCAUCUUAUUUUACAAGUAAUUUUUCACAGCCAGCAAAUAAGUAUAAGGGCCAAAUGCACUUGCAAAUGCUGGCAUGUGGAAAGAAGAAGGGGUUAUUUGUGUGGCAUCUCCCAACUUCAAAGAGGACAAAGCUGUUAAGAUUCUCAGGGUCAGUUUCGAUCGUUGCUUCAGUAACCAGAUGAUGCGUGCUUCAAAAGAGUUUUGGAUUCUCUACAUCUACCCAAUUCUGUACGCAAACUAUUAGUAAUAUAAUCUUGUGAUAAUUUAAUUGAUAAAUGAUAAACUUGAUUCUUGUAGAUUAGCUAGAAAUUGUAAGAUCUGACCGAACAGUGACUUUCGAAGUUCAAUAUUAACUGAGAUAUUAUGCUUUGAAAAGUUCCUUUUAUGACGUCAUCCACCGCGGUAGUGCCACCCUUGGUUUCCUUCACCUUGAUUUCAUCAGUCAACAAUGGACACAUUUGCACUGGUUACUCAAUGUGAAACUCAAAUGAAAUUAAGGUGGAAAAAAACAAGGACGUCACCACCGCGGUGGAUAACAUAAAUAACGCGACUUUUCAAAGGGCGAUAUCUCCGUUAAUAUUGAACAUAGAAAGUUGCCGGUUGGACGGAUUUUAUUUUUAGCUAAUCUACAAGAAUUAAGCAUUAAAACACGCUUCUGUGACGAUCGAAACUGACCCAUUGAGGGGCUUGGAGGACAAGGCGCAUAAGUGCACUCUUUCCUAUUUCAAGAAAUAUUUGUUUAAAGUUUCAAAAU